rnacentral:rRNA from 1 species
CCUACGGGGGGCAGCAGUGAGGAAUAUUGGUCAAUGGGCGGAAGCCUGAACCAGCCAAGUAGCGUGCAGGAUGACGGCCCUACGGGUUGUAAACUGCUUUUAUACGGGAAUAACGCGCCUUACGUGUAGGGCUUUGCAUGUACCGUAUGAAUAAGGACCGGCUAAUUCCGUGCCAGCAGCCGCGGUAAUACGGAGGGUCCGGGCGUUAUCCGGAUUUAUUGGGUUUAAGGGGAGCGUAGGCCGCAUGUCAAGCGUGCUGUGAAAUGUCCGGGCUCAACCCGGGCCUUGCAGCGCGAACUGGCGUGCUUGAGGCCGCGGAAGGCAGGCGGAAUUCGUGGUGUAGCGGUGAAAUGCUUAGAUAUGACGAAGAACCCCGAUUGCGAAGGCAGCCUGCUGCAGCGGAACUGACGCUGAUGCUCGAAAGCGCGGGUAUCGAACAGGAUUAGAUACCCUGGUAGUC